GGUUAAGCGACUAAGCGUACACGGUGGAUGCCCUGGCAGUCAGAGGCGAUGAAGGACGUGCUAAUCUGCGAUAAGCGUCGGUAAGGUGAUAUGAACCGUUAUAACCGGCGAUUUCCGAAUGGGGAAACCCAGUGUGAUUCGUCACACUAUCAUUAACUGAAUCCAUAGGUUAAUGAGGCGAACCGGGGGAACUGAAACAUCUAAGUACCCCGAGGAAAAGAAAUCAACCGAGAUUCCCCCAGUAGCGGCGAGCGAACGGGGAGGAGCCCAGAGCCUGAAUCAGUGUGUGUGUUAGUGGAAGCGUCUGGAAAGGCGCGCGAUACAGGGUGACAGCCCCGUACACAAAAAUGCACAUGCUGUGAGCUCGAUGAGUAGGGCGGGACACGUGGUAUCCUGUCUGAAUAUGGGGGGACCAUCCUCCAAGGCUAAAUACUCCUGACUGACCGAUAGUGAACCAGUACCGUGAGGGAAAGGCGAAAAGAACCCCGGCGAGGGGAGUGAAAAAGAACCUGAAACCGUGUACGUACAAGCAGUGGGAGCACAGAGCAAUCUGUGUGACUGCGUACCUUUUGUAUAAUGGGUCAGCGACUUAUAUUCUGUAGCAAGGUUAACCGAAUAGGGGAGCC
rnacentral:rRNA from 2 species